UACGUAGGUUGCGAGCGUUGUCCGGAUUUACUGGGCGUAAAGAGCGCGCAGGCGGUCUGUUGCGUCGGGGGUGAAAACUCAGGGCUUAACCCUGAGCCUGCUUCCGAUACGGGCAGACUAGAGGUAUGCAGGGGAGAACGGAAUUCCUGGUGUAGCGGUGAAAUGCGCAGAUAUCAGGAGGAACACCGGUGGCGAAGGCGGUUCUCUGGGCAUUAACUGACGCUGAGGGGCGAAAGUGUGGGGAGCGAACAGG
rnacentral:rRNA from 1 species